rnacentral:rRNA from 1 species
UUCCUACGGGGGGCAGCAGUGGGGGAUAUUGCACAAUGGGGGGAACCCUGAUGCAGCGACGCCGCGUGGGUGAAGAAGCGCCUCGGCGCGUAAAGCCCUGUCAGCAGGGAAGAAAAUGACGGUACCUGAAGAAGAAGCCCCGGCUAACUACGUGCCAGCAGCCGCGGUAAUACGUAGGGGGCAAGCGUUAUCCGGAUUUACUGGGUGUAAGGGGAGCGUAGACGGACUUGCAAGUCUGAUGUGAAAAUCCGGGGCCCAACCCCGGAACUGCAUUGGAAACUGUAUAUCUAGAGUGUCGGAGAGGC